UACGUAGGGGGCAAGCGUUGUCCGGAAUCAUUGGGCGUAAAGGAGCGUGUGAGCGGCCAGAUAAGUCCGCUGUGAAAUCUCGAGGCUCAACUUCGAGCUGUCGGUGGAAACUGUCUGGCUAGAGUCCGGAAGAGGAGAAUGGAAUUCCUGGUGUAGCGGUGAAAUGCGCAGAUAUCAGGAAGAACACCCGUGGCGAAGGCGGUUCUCUGGGACGGUACUGACGCUGAGACGCGAAAGCGUGGGGAGCGAACAGG
rnacentral:rRNA from 1 species